CCACACAUUGACCAUUGGAAUUGAAUUGUCGUUUCCACCCAAAUCCCUGCCUCCUCCCCGUCAUUCCUGUGGAUUUGCCAGCUCUCCUCCUCCCCGACACCACUCUCCCUCCCCAAUCCUGCUCCUCCCCAUCCAUGGCGCUCCGAUUCGCCGCCACCAGCGAGCCCUCCCUCCUCCGCCGAUCCCUCUUCUUCAUUUCUUAUCCUUUCCCAUCUCCUAUUCCUCACCUCCCCCUUCAAUCCCCCGACCCCCAGUUGCUCCGCCCCGUGCUCCGUCCUGCUGCCGGGAGCAGCGUCCGAUGACCACAGUUGCCCCGCCCGGACCUCCGUCCUGCUGCCGGGAGCAGCGGCCGGUGACCCCCAGUUGCCCCGCCCGCAGUCCCUGGUAGGUCUCUUCCUCCACCUCUUCUCUCUCCCCCCUCCCACACACGCACUUCUCUUUUCUUGAACCCUAACCUCACUAAAUCAUCAGAUUUAGUACCGGAUCGACCUCAAGCACACGGGAUCUGGACACCUCCAGAGGAGAUUGACAUCUUGACCAUCUCUGCACCUUAUCCCUGUUGAGGGCAAAUUUUUGGCAAGGUUCGUCUAACUAAGCUUUUACAUUUGUACCAAUGGAAAUCUCUGUUCCAAGUUAAUUAGCUCCUGAUGCAUACCCCAUUGUCGUGUACUCCCUGUUAAGAAAGAGAUGAUGCUCGUGUACUUGUAAUUGCUGCCGUAUUUGGGAGAGCAAGACGUGCCAUUCCAUUCCAAGUAGCAGAACAUAGAGCCAGUUGUACUUGCUAGUAAUAGUGCAUCUCUGGCUGGCUCUUGCCGCAAGUUGAUUAGGAUUUGCAGAAAUUGGAUCUUUGAUAGGAACUUUAAAAGAUGCAAAUAUGGCAGGUUUUAGACGUAAUGGUUUGAUUACGUUCUGCUGCUCUUUGUAAUGCAGCUAUGUUUUAGCCUUUUAGGACAAAUAUUGCCAAAGAUGGGAAAGGUUGCUCUGUUUUCAUUUUAGACUCUAAAAAGCGCGCAAGAGCUCUGGAGAGGGUGUGUUAUCAGUUCUUACAAAAGUCAGAUUCACCAUAUUUUGCAUUCAUUAUUCAGGUCUGCUGCUAGCUCAAUAAGUUUAGGAAUAGAUUGAUCUGUUGUGGUUUUUGUAGCCUCUUAUAGAAAACAUUAGCAGACUGCUACGUUGGCCGGUGCUAAUUAAUUAGUAUGUGGGUUAACUUUCAGGUUGAAAUAUUUAGUCGAGUUGCCUAUAUGCAUAUUGGUUGUUGGUCCAUCCGGUUGCACUUUUCAGAAAUUAAGCUCCUAUAUAACCACAUAUACACUAAGCUGGGUAUGCAUAGCAUCAUCAUCAUAUGCAUAGCAGUGCAGUGCGCACACUGCACACACACUCCCUGUCUCGUUAAACCACAUGCAUAUAACCAUCUUAUUUGUCCAACAUGAAUCGGCUCUAACAAGAUGUUUUUUUUUUUCAAUUUUCAUUUACUUCUCAAUAUAGAUGUCGGACUUGCACGUUAACAUCAUUGCAUCAUGAUGAGAGGAGGAAGAAAAGAAAGAGGGCAGCAGCUGGAUUUUUUGUGUCGGUUGUCGUGAUAGUUCAACACACCUAUUGUCGGAGGAGGAUUAGAGAGCUUGAUGAUUUCAGCGAGGAUGAGACGGAGAUUAAGAUUAGAAAGAAUAUGCUUAAAUAAAUUUAUCAAGGUUCUAAUAAGUACUGUUAUGAUAGUUUGCGCCUAACUACAUGGUCCUUUGUGGACCUAUGCGCUAUCUUGCGUGAAAGAUGUGGUUUGUGCGACACUUUUGUGUAUCAGUCGAAGAAUCAGUCACAAUCUUUUUGCGAGAAAUAUUUUGUUUGCUGGAGGUAAUUAGAGGGAGAGAAUGAGAUAUAGGUAAAAAAACACAUUUGCCCUUCCUUGCGUCGUCUCCUCCGAGGCGACCCGGGGGCCCCAAAACCUAGCACCGCCAGGCUCGGCCAGCAGCUACUCCUCGUCAGGUGGCGGGCGCUUGAGGUGGGGGAUGUUCGAUCCCCUCUCGGUUGCGUGGCUCGGUGGAUCCAGGCAGCUCGACAGGUGUCCAUCCGGCAAUGGUGAUAUUGUGUGACUUCUUGUGUGACAACGUUGGCGGCUUCGGGCGAAGUUGGGCUGCUGUUGAGCUUUGGUAGUCGGUCUCAUCCGGCGGGUUCGAGGGGUUGCCGUGCCUCGCUUGUCUUCCUUGCGGAGGUGUGAUGAUGAUGACACUAGAUUGCAACCUCGACGGUGCUUUUCUCCUUGACGGUGUGUGUGUGUUCUUGUGUGGGUUGCCAGGUCGUCAUGUGUGCCUUAUGUUUUGCGGGCGUGUUAUGAUGGUUUUCGCCCGGUUUUUCGUUGAUUAACUGGGCAACUCUCUUCGACCUUUUUUUAAUGAAUCGGGCCCUAAGGGACUGCAUCUUGAAAAAAAAAACACGAGAGGUGGGAAUAGAUUACUUGUGCUGAUGCCUUGUAUUUUUUUACUCCAUAUAUGCACUACUUGAAGGUAGUUUUGUUGAUCUAGGUGGAUUAUGUCUUAUUCUACAAAAGAAAAUAUAUAGCUUUCUGAAAUGUGAUGACUUGCAAUACUGCCUAUAAAUAAAUUAAGAUGGAGUUUUAGAAGCUUCACAUUUUAUAAAUACUUCAGUAAGUUUGCUUCUCGUCAUAUUUGCAGGACAACAAAGAAGCCACAUGUUCAAGUCUCUUCAAGUCUUACUUGAGUGAUCGUGAUGCAAGUUUAAGCCUCUUCAAGUCUUACUAGAGUGGUUCUGAUGCAAGUUCAAGCUUCUUCAAGUCUUACUAGAGUGGUCCUUAUGUAAAAGUUCAAGCCUCUUGAAUGCAAAUAUUUAUUUUUUAUGGUUCUAAUGCAUUUGUGAUGGCACACUGUAGUCUUUCGUGUUCCUUCUUAACACAAGCUAUUGGAAGAAAAUGGUUGAAACUGAUGUUGUUCAGAUCCUUUUGAUCUUGAUCAUUGAAAAUGCACAAUGUGUUGAAUGUACAGACUAAGAUGUGCAUGCUGAUUAUUUGUAAUUUAAACCAUAUGGACGGGUGAAUCCACAUUGAAGAU
rnacentral:lncRNA from 1 species